GCGUGUUUGGAUUAGUUAGUACUUUGUAGACGCCGCUUACUUUCCCCUGUGUCUCUCUGAACUCAAGUCGCCUCCGCUUCUUCCCCAAAUCGCCGCCGCAGCUUACCGUCUCUGUUCCUCGAGGAGCUCGACCUAGCCCAAGCUCCCCACGCCAUCAACGGCUCCGGUGACCGCCGCCACGGCGACAAAGCCGUACGGUUGCGCGGCUGCCGCUUCCCGUUCCACUCUCCUCACACCGUCAACGGCCCCGGCUCCGGCGACCGACGCCACCACGGCGAUGCCGUAUGGUUCCGCGGCGUGCAGUGCAGACGUGGGGCGUCCCAUCUGUUCUUCGCGGUGGAGGCCUACCGGCGGGGAAGAAGGGCACGCUGUCGCGGUGGACGACUCGCGACUGUGGUUGGUGGCGGAGGACAAAAUCCGCCCCAUCUUCUAGACCCUUCACUACCGAGGCAUCCAGGGAGUCCAGAGCGUGCUCGACGCAGUCUGAACUACUUCCAGUGGAUGAGUAUGAGCUGCCCUCUUCGUGGCAUGCUGGAUCUGGGACUAUGGUGACAGACUCUUCAUUCAGAUAAUGUGAGGACAAGAAUCAUUGAAUGAGUGAUAGGAGAACAUUGAAUGAUUUCGGUGACAAAUUUUACUCGCUAGGUUGAUGAUAAAAAUGGAGAUAUGUACUGACGCAAAGAGCAACAUUGCAUCAUUGAUGUUUAAACCAAUGAACCAAAAGGAAAGGCUCAUGAAGGUUGAUUUCUUGCUGCAAACAAGUCGAGGAGGUAGCUCUUGUUGUCCCAGCAGGGUCAGCGGCGUCUGAUUGGAGAUCUCAGCCUAGCGUCGAUGGCCAGAAGAUCGAUGAUCACAGCCGUUAUCGGCGGCCAGCCAUGGAAGAAGCACGUACCCAGAUCCUGUUUGUUGAUGUUUGUUAUGCCGGCAUCCCUGUAUAUAUAUAGAAGCUUGGAAAAAAGGGCGCGUGCUAGUUGCGCGGGAAGGCACAGUUGGCGCCAACAAGUUUGUUGAGGAAGACGUGGAGGGAAAAAAAGUCUGUUUUAUGUAACCAGGUUUCUAUAAAAACGAGUAUUAGUUGUUUUUCACUAGACGCACUUUCCUGGCUUUGUGGAAACCGAAUUCUGCUUAUCCACGUUUCUAUUGGACCA